CCUAGGAGGUCCACUUGGUUAGGACUACAGCCUUCCAAGCUGUUGACCCGGGUUCAAAUCCCGGUCCCUGCA
rnacentral:tRNA from 1 species